rnacentral:lncRNA from 1 species
CGAUAUUGUACAAUUGCGUAAUUAAAAAUUGAUAACAAUCUUACUAAUAUAAUCCUUUGUUUUAAGUUUGAUUCAUAUCAUGACUAAUUCGUAGGUUAAACAUCAAUUGUGGAAUUCCUUCGUCAAAAAAAAAAAAAAAAAAAAAAAGUUGGGGGUUAGAACUCUAUGAACAAAAACAUUAUAAAAAACAAAAGAAAGUCAGUCUACUUAAAUCAAAGGUUUCUAUCUUAUUGAGUCUCUUGAGUAUACAACAAUUAUCUCAAUAAAACUUACCUCAAGAACAAAAGAAACACAGUAGAGAUACAAAAAAGAAGAAACUACUUAUAAAAAAGUUUUUUGAACCCCUCUGGAGUGAGUUCAAUCUAAAGAAACCUCGAUGGCUGCUUACACAGGCUCAGGAGCAAAAGAAGGAAUCUGCCCGGCGAGGAGCUUGAUUACAAAAUCUGCCCAGGAUUAUUACAAAGCAUACAAUUGAAGAUCCUAGUAAAAGCAUACCUCAAACGAGGAUACAUCCUACCGGUAUGUAAACUCGAUUCCCUCCACAUAUCCUCCAUGAUUUCGAAGAAAUGAUUGAGGUUUCUGAUUGGAGGAAUAUAAAGGAUCGCAGGAACUGCAGAAAAUGCCAUUGCAAAGAAAAAUUGCAACAUCUCAACUACACAGAACUUAAGAUCAAUAAAAGAGAUUAUGAACUCUUUGGAAAUUUUGUUGAAUUUUGGAGAAGUUUGAACACAGAACUUAAGAUGAUAAAAGUUAAGAUGAUAAAAGAUAUUAUGAACUCUCUGGAAUUUUCGCUGAAUUUUAGAUAAGUUUGAAUGAACAGAGUUGUGAUUUUGGGUGGAUCUAUGUUUUGUUUGUAAGUGAAUGAGGAUUUCAAGACUUCUGGCAAUGGUGGUUGAGUUGGUCUAAUUGGGAAUUUUAGUCAAAUAUAAAGAUG